rnacentral:rRNA from 1 species
CCUACGGGUGGCUGCAGUGGGGAAUAUUGCACAAUGGAGGGAACUCUGAUGCAGCGACGCCGCGUGAGUGAAGAAGGUCUUCGGAUCGUAAAACUCUGUCCUUGGUGAAGAAAAAAAUGACGGUAGCCAAGGAGGAAGCCCCGGCUAACUACGUGCCAGCAGCCGCGGUAAUACGUAGGGGGCGAGCGUUGUCCGGAUUUACUGGGCGUAAAGGGUGAGUAGGCGGUUGUAUAUGUCAGGUGUAAAAGGCACAGGCUUAACUUGUGUUAGCACUUGAAACUGUACAACUUGAGUGCAGGAGAGGUAAGCGGAAUUCCUAGUGUAGCGGUGAAAUGCGUAGAUAUUAGGAGGAACACCAGUGGCGAAGGCGGCUUACUGGACUGUAACUGACGCUGAGUCACGAAAGCGUGGGUAGCAAACAGGAUUAGAUACCCUUGUAGUC